GUGGACGUAGCUCAGCUGGCAGAGUUCUGGGUUGUGGCCCCAGCGGUCGAGGGUUCGAAUCCCUCCGUCCACCCCA
rnacentral:tRNA from 1 species